rnacentral:pre_miRNA from 1 species
UAACUGUGGCAAUAGAGGUCACCUGUUGUCACGGUUACGUUCUUAACCGUGGCAAAAGGUGGCCUCUAUUGCAACGGUUA